CCUUCAAUAGCUCAGCUGGUAGAGUGGAGGACUGUAGGCUGCCUUGCACAGCCAUCCUUAGGUUGCUGGUUCAACUCUAGCUUGAAGGA
rnacentral:tRNA from 1 species